rnacentral:misc_RNA from 1 species
ACUCUUCAACCCACCCUUUUCUUGAUGAAUUGGAGUUGGCGUUUGGAUUUUGAGCUCUGCUAUUAGUUUAGCUGGCUCGUAAUAAAUUAGCAUCUUCGAAUUCGUAAUCGGAUUGACUUGGCGUAAUAGAUUAUUCGCUGAGGACACUUGCAAAAGUGGCCGAGAAAAGAUGAGAGAAGCUUCAAAAUCUCUCCUAGCGAGAACUUUCAUA